UUCAAAAUGGCUUCAGGAAAAUCUCACAGAUAUGGAUGCCAAAGUAAAAGCAAUGAUCAAGCUUAUUGAAGAAGAUGCUGAUUCAUUUGCAAGGAGGGCAGAAAUGUACUAUAAAAAACGCCCAGAGCUGAUGACAUUGGUUGAAGAGUUCUAUCGUGCUUACCGUGCAUUAGCAGAGAGGUAUGAUCAUGCAACUGUGGAGCUUCGCCAAGCUCAUCGAACCAUGGCAGAAGCAUUUCCAAACCAAGUACCUUAUGUGCUGGCUGAUGAUUCACCGUCAGGCUCUUCAGGUCCUGUAGGUGAGCCUCACACGCCAGAAAUGCCACAUCCAAUUCGUGCAUUACUCGACCCCGAUGACUUGCAUAAGGAUGCCCUAGGACUCUCUUCAGCCAACCUGCAUGCUAUGAAAAGCAAUGGAGGAUAUUCAGAAGGAUCAGAUUCUGGAAUUAACAGAAGGGGUUUAAAACAGCUCAAUGACUUGUUUGGGUCAGGAGUAACGGUUUCAAAAGUUUUGGAAGAAAAGAUGAAAAAAAGCCCAAACAUCCAUGAAAUGACAGAGGCUGAAACUGAAGUUCAAAACUUGAUGAAAACUCUUUCAGAGAUUCAAGCUGAAAAGGAAGCUGUUCUUCUUCAGUAUCAGCAGAGCUUGCAGAAGUUAUCUAGCCUGGAAAGAGAACUUAAGGAAGCUGGAGGACUUGAUGAACGAGCAAGUAGAGCUGAAAUUGAAGUUAAAAUCCUGAAGGAAACCCUUGUUAAAUUAGAAUCUGAGAGGGAUGUUGGUCUUCUUCAGUACAAUAAAUGUUUGGAAAGAAUAUCUAGCAUGGAGAAUAUGAUCUCUCAAACACAAGAGGAUGCAAAGGGACUUAAUGAGAGAGCAAUUAAAGCAGAAAUAGAAGCUCAAAAUCUCAAGCAAGAACUUUCUGCAUUAGAAGCUGACAAGGAAGCAGGUCUUCUUCAGUACAACCACUGUCUUGGAAUGAUAUCAACUUUGGAAAAUAAAAUCUCUCUUGCAGAGGCAAAUGCAAAAAUGCUUAACGAGCAAACUGAAAGAGCAGAAACUGAAGUUAAAGCAUUGAAGGAAGCUCUUGCUAGGUUGAACAAAGAGAAAGAAGCUACGGAACUUCGGUAUGAACAGUGUUUGGAGAGAAUAGCUAAAAUGGAGGGUGAAAUUUCUCAUGCCCAAGAAGAUGCGAAAAGACUCAACAGUGAAAUUCUGAUGGGGGCUGCAAAAUUGAAAGAUGUAGAAGAACAAUAUUUUCUGUUAGAGAGAUCAAAUCAGGCUCUGCAGUUGGAGGCAGAUAAUCUAGCACAGAAGAUAGCAACAAAGGAUCAAGAACUUUUGGAGAAAGAAGAUGAAUUGGAGAAACUUCAGACUUCACUGCAAUAUGAGCACUCACAGUUUGUUCGAAUUGAAGCUGCUUUGCAAACUUUGCAGAAAUUGCACUCUCAAUCUCAAGAGGAGCAGAGAGCUUUGGCGAAAGAGCUUCAGAUGAAGCUUCAAUUAUUGAAGGACUUGGAGAUAUGUAACAAUGACCUGCAGGACGAUCUCCAGCGGGUUAAGGAAGAGAACCAGAGUCUCUAUGAAUUGAACAGUUCUUCCAGAAGUUCAAUAAUGAAUUUACAAAAUGAAAUUCUUAGCCUGAAGGAAGUGAAAGAAAAACUGGAACAGGAUCUGGCGCUGCAAGUGGCUCAAAGUAAUUCUCUGCAGGAAGAAAUCCAACAUUUGAAGGAGGAGAUUGAGGGCUUGAAUAGGAGAUAUCAGGAUUUAAUAGAACAAUUGUGCUCAUUAGGUCUGGAUCCUAAGUGCCUGAAUUCAGCUGUCAAGGACUUGCAAGAUGAGAACUUGAAGCUAAAAGAAGUCUGCAAAAAUGACAGAGAUGAAAAAGAAGAUCUCUAUGAGAAGUUGAGGGACAUGAAUGUGCUUCUGGAGAGAAAUAUUGCUUUGGAGAGAUCUCUAUCAGAAUUGAAUAGCAAGUUGCAGGGAUCACUAGAGAGGGUUAAAGAAUUGCAGGAGUCCUGCCAGUUUCUUCAAGGAGAAAAAUGUGGUCUUGUUGCUGAAAAAGCCAUUCUGCUGUCUCAGUUACAAACUAUGACUGAGAAUAUGCAAAAGCUCUCGGACAAAGAUGCCAUGCUAGAGGAUUCACUCGCUCGUGCAAAUGUUGAAGUUGAAGGUUUAAGGGCAAAGUCAAAAGGUUUGGAAGAAUUCUGUCAGAUGCUCAAAGAUGAGAAAUCCAACCUUCAAAAUGAAAGAAGCACCCUCAUGAGUCAGCUGGAAAAUGUUGAACAGAGACUGCGAAACCUAGAAAGGAGGUUUAUAAGAUUAGAAGAAAAAUAUACUGAUCUGGAGAAGGAGAAGGAAUCAACACGUUUUGAAGUAAGAGAAUUGCAGAGUUACCUUGGCAUAGAAAAACAAGAGCGUGCAUGUUAUAUACAGUCUAGUGAGUCCCGAUUGGCAGAUCUAGAGAACCAGGUCCUUCUCCUGAAAGAAGAAAGUAAAUUGAGUAAGAAAGAAUUUGAAGAAGAACUAGAUAAGGCUGCCAAUGCUCAGGUUGAGAUCUUCAUCUUGCAGAAGUUUAUACAAGAUUUGGAAGAGAAGAAUUUAUCUCUGUUGAUUGAAUGCAAGAAACAUGUUGAGGCAUCCAAAUUGUCGAAUAAACUGAUAUCAGAGUUGGAGAAUGAGAAUCUUGAGCAGCAGGUGGAAGUAGAAUUCUUAUUGGACGAAAUUGAAAAGCUGAGAAUGGGAGUUCAUCAAGUUUUCAGGGCUGUUCAGUUUGAUCCAGUUAAUAAGCAUGAAGAUGGGAUUGAAGAAGAGAAGAUUCCUUUUCUCCAUAUUUUGGACAACAUUGAGGGCUUAAAAGGUUCCCUCCUGAUAAAUGAGGAUGAGAAGCAACAACUAGUGGUUGAGAACUUAGUGCUCUUAACUUUACUUGGAGAACUAAGAUCAGAGGGUGCUGAACUCGAGUCAGAGAAGAAAAUGUUUAAACAGGAGUUUGACAUGAUGACGGAGCACUGUACUUUCCUGCGAAAGGAUAAGCAUGAACUUCUGGAGAUGAACAGGCAACUGAGAUUGGAAGUAAGUAAACGAGAGCAGCAGCAGGACAUAUUAAAAGCUGAACUGGAAAUUCAACAUGUGAAUCUUGCAAGUUUGCAGGGUUCUUACCUGGCAUUGCGAGAAGAAAACUUCAAGUCACUAGGAGAAAACAGAUCUUUACUUGAGAAAUUUUCAGAUCUGGAAAAGGAAAUGCGUAUACUUGAAGAGGAAAACAGUGAAUCUCUCCAGGAAGUACUAGCUCUCAGUACCAUAUCAUCAGUUUUCAAAAGCUUUGGGACUGAGAAAGUUGAGGAACUUGAAGCACUUUCUGAGGAUCUCAGCAGACUUCAUGUUCUUAACGACGGCCUCAAAAAGAAGGUUGAGUUGUUGGGGCAGAAGCUGGAAGUAAAAGAAGCAGAAAGUCUACAUCUUAAUGAAACAAUUGAGAAGUUGCAUCAGGAGCUGCAAGAAGGCAGAGACUUAACUGAUCAAUUGAACUGUCAAAUUUUAAUUGGGCAUGAUUUUCUUAGACAGAAAGCUGCUGACCUUAUAGAAGUGGAACAGAAGCUUAAGACUGCACACAACUUGAAUGCUGAAUUGUGCAGAACUGUUGAGGAACUGAAGAGGGAGUGUGAAGAAUCAAAAAUGGCUAGGGAGAAUAUAGAGAAGCAGAUUUUUGAGCUGUCCAAAAAUAGCAUAAGUCAGAAAAAGGAAAUCAAAUGUCUUAAAGAAGCAAAUGAAAAUCUGGAGUCAGAAGUGAGUGCAUUAUGCAAGGAAGUCAAAGAACGAAAGACUAAAGAAGAGAACUUGAGUUUGGAGUUGCAAGAGAGAAGCAAUGAGUUUGAACUCUUUGAGGCUGAGGCAUCAUCAUUCUAUUUUGAUCUUCAAAUAUCCUCUGUAUGUGAGGUCUUGCUUGAAAAUAAAGUUCAUGAACUGACUGCAGUUUGUGAGAAUCUUGAAGAUGAAAAUGCCAACAAGGACUUCAAAAUUGAACAGAUGAAAGAAAGAUUCGGCAUCCUGGAAACUGAAAUUGGAGAAAUGAGGGCUCAAUUGUCUGCAUAUGCUCCAGUCAUAGCUUCUCUAAGAGAUAACAUAGAAUCUCUUGAGCAUAAUGCCCUUCUUUGCACAAGGUCUUUUGCAGCUUGCAAUCAAGGACAGACGGGUGUGGAAAAGGCUAUUCAACCACACGAAAUGAGCAAACAAGAACCCAUAUGCGAUGAACCAGUGCCAGAUGGAAUUGCGGAUCUGCUUGAGAUACAAAAUAGAAUUAAAGCAGUUGAGAAGGCAGUGGUCAAAGAAAUGGAAAGGCUUGUAACGCAGGAAAGAGAAAACGCCAAUGUCAAGCUAGAAUCUUCAAUGAAAGGGACUGAACAGUUGGAAUUUAGAGGACAGAAGGAAAAGGUGGAACUUGAAAAUGAGCCCAGUAAAGCUGAAAGUUCUGAAGUGAAGAUUGGGAUUUUGAUGAAAGACAUCCCACUUGAUAAUCAACAGGUUUCAGAUUGUUCAAUGUAUAGAAGUAAGACGAAAAAUUCUGAGGCUGAUAAUCAAAUGCUCAAGCUAUGGGAAUCUGCUGAGCAAGACUCUAACCUUGAUCCAGUGGCUAGUGUCACACAAAAGCAGGUAGCUGCACAGUUGGAGAUUGUCAAUGCACGUCAUCAGUUCAAAGAUGCCAAACAGAAGAAGAAUCGAAAUCCCUCUUUAGAGUUACAGGUCGAGAGGGAAGUGGGCGUUGAUAAACUAGAGGUGUCUACAAGCAUCAAUGAAGAGCCAAAUCAAGAAGGGAACAGAAGAAAGAUAUUAGAGCGACUUGCUUCUCAUGCCCAGAAAUUAAUGUCUCUUCAAACAACUGUGGCAGAUUUGAAGAAGGAACUGGAAAUUAAGAAUAGCAGAAAGAAAGCCAAUGAUGUUGAAUUUGAAAGAGUGAAAAGACAGUUACAAGAAGUUGAGGAGGCUGUUGUGCAGCUGGUUGAUGUUAAUGAUCAAUUGACAAAAGAUAUUGAAGGGAGCCCCUCAUCUUCAGAUGGAAACACUUCAAUAGCAUCAGAAGAGAAGGGCAAUGUCCACAGAAAAAGACUGAUAGAGCAAGCACGGGAAGGAUCUGAGCAAAUUGGACGGCUGCAGUUUGAGGUACAAGGCAUCCAGUACCUUCUGCUGAAACUGGAGGGUAAAAAUAAAAGCAAAGGUAAACACAGGUUUCCUGUAAGUAGAACAGGCAUCUUCUUGAGAGACUUCAUCUACAGUGGUGGCAGGAGAAGUAUUAGAAAGCGGAAGGGUUGUUUCUGUGGUUGUGCAAGACCUUCAACCCUUGAAGAUUGAGGCAACUACUCGAGCAGAAGUUGAAUGGUAUUGUUAGCUAAAGUAUCUUGGAAAUAUUCGUAAUAUUUUAUGAGAAAAUUUCUUGGAAUAGUUAGUUUGAAUGUCCUUUUAGCCUAGCCUAGGAGAACAUUAAGGACUAGCCUGGUCUAGUCAUGAUAAGCUGUAUCUGUCAGCAAUUUUAAUCUUCUUAUUUCAGUUAUAUCAACGCAAUAUCUUACAAAUCCAGUCCAGAAUGCCGUAUAAAUUGUAGCUGCCAAAUGCUAAUUGAAGUGGAAAAGUGUGGACAAGGCACUAUCAUCUUGAAAGCCAUAAUGAUUACAACAGAGAAAUGCAUAUAUAUUUAUAAUAGAUUACAAAUGGUUUUAUGUUUUGCACAUCAUGAAUUUUGUCAAUAGCUAACACUAUCCCAAGAUAAA
rnacentral:misc_RNA from 1 species